UACGAAGGGGGCUAGCGUUGCUCGGAAUGACUGGGCGUAAAGGGCGCGUAGGCGGAUGACACAGUCAGAUGUGAAAUUCCUGGGCUUAACCUGGGGGCUGCAUUUGAUACGUGUUGUCUAGAGUGAGGAAGAGGGUCGUGGAAUUCCCAGUGUAGAGGUGAAAUUCGUAGAUAUUGGGAAGAACACCGGUGGCGAAGGCGGCGACCUGGUCCUUGACUGACGCUGAGGCGCGAAAAGCGUGGGGAGCAAACAGG
rnacentral:rRNA from 1 species